rnacentral:ncRNA from 1 species
AGAGUAGUACAAUAAGGCCUAGUGCCUCUAGACCUACGUAGUGGGUCGUCCUCCGUGCAAAACACCUGCUGGUGGUUGUCCAUAAGCUUCUGUUUAUAGCGGUGAGAAUCGGAGCUUAGGGAUUGACUAUUCG